rnacentral:antisense_RNA from 16 species
CUUCAACGAGCCCAGCCACAGCGGCCGUUCGGCAGGACGCUCCUGCCCGUAGGUGGCCUGGAGCGCCUGCACCUC